rnacentral:rRNA from 1 species
UAAGUCUCAGUUCGGAUUGAAGGCUGAAAUUCGCCUUCAUGAAGCCGGAAUUGCUAGUAAUGGCAGGUCAGCAUACUGCCGUGAAUACGUUCCCGGGGCCUUGUACACACCGCCCGUCACACCAUGAGAGUUGGGGAAUACCCGAAGCCUGUGAGCUAACUUUUAGAGGCAGCAGUCGAAGGUAGAAUCAAUGAUUGGGGUGAAGUCGUAACAAGGUAGC